UCCGAGUUGACCCCGGCAGUCUCCUAUGAGUCCCCGCCAUCACGCGCUGGCAACAUAGAACGAGGGUUGCGCUCGUUGCGGGACUUAACCCAACAUCUCACGACACGAGCUGACGACAACCAUGCAGCAUCUGUGCACGCUCCCUUGCGGGUCCCUUCCCUUUCAGGUCGGUACCACGUGCAUGUCAAGCCUAGGUAAGGUUCUUCGCGUUGCAUCGAAUUAAACCACACGCUCCGCUGCUUGUGCGGGCCCCCGUCAAUUCCUUUGAGUUUUAGCCUUGCGGCCGUACUCCCCAGGCGGGGUGCUUAAUGCGUUAGCUGCGGCACGGAAGGAGUCGACACCUCCCACACCUAGCACCCAUCGUUUACGGCUAGGACUAC
rnacentral:misc_RNA from 1 species